rnacentral:rRNA from 1 species
GACGAACGCUGGCGGCGUGCUUAACACAUGCAAGUCGAACGGAAAGGCCCUGCUUGCAGGGUCCUCGAGUGGCGAACGGGUGAGUAACACGUGGGUGAUCUGCCCUGCACUUCGGGAUAAGCCUGGGAAACUGGGUCUAAUACCGGAUAGGAGCCAUUUUUAGUGUGAUGGUUGGAAAGUUUUUUCGGUGUAGGAUGAGCUCGCGGCCUAUCAGCUUGUUGGUGGGGUAAUGGCCUACCAAGGCGGCGACGGGUAGCCGGCCUGAGAGGGUGGACGGCCACAGUGGGACUGAGAUACGGCCCAGACGCCUACGGGAGGCAGCAGGGGGGAAUAUUGCACAAUGGGCGCGAGCCUGAUGCAGCGACGCCGCGUGGGGGAUGACGGGCUUCGGGUUGUAAACUCCGUUCGCUAGGGACGAAGCUUUUUGUGACGGUACCUAGAUAAGAAGCACCGGCUAACUACGUG